rnacentral:rRNA from 1 species
UACAGAGGGGGCAAGCGUUAUUCGGAAUUAUUGGGCGUAAAGGGCGCGUAGGCGGCUUUGCAAGUGGCGGGUGAAAUCCCUCGGCUUAACCGAGGAACUGCCUGUCAAACUGCAUGGCUUGAGACCAGGAGAGGUGAGUGGAAUUCCCAGUGUAGCGGUGAAAUGCGUAGAUAUUGGGAGGAACACCAGUGGCGAAGGCGGCUUACUGGACUGGUACUGACGCUGAUGCGCGAAAGCGUGGGGAGCAAACAGG